rnacentral:lncRNA from 10 species
CUGUACCUACGUAUCAUCAACCAUUUGGACUUGCCUUGAACUUACUCUCUCAGUUACUCAGCAAUCAUGGACAGAGCUCCUCCUAUGAGCAGGCCAUCGUUAAAGGUGCCAGAGAUAGGGAGUGAGGACGUCAUCUGCAUCUUCUGCCAGCAUCUGAGAGAGGCAGAGGGAGAUUCCACAGAAGAGGAGAAGGUGAUAUGAUGGUGGAAGCAGAGAUUGAA